CAGGAAUUCACCUGCUUUUCCUAAACCCUCUUCUGUAUGACUCAUCAAGGUGACCCUUAUCUACCUAUUGACACAAGCUGAGAAGCAGCUGAGAAUCUGAAAACACAACACUAUAAUGGAGGGUGGUGUUGAAUCGGAGGAUCAACGUACAUAUAUUCGUAUGAAAACGUCAUAACGAAGCGUUACGUGUAAUUACAAUGCACCGCCCCUCGCAACAGAAAUGCUACAUUUUGGGGGCAUCUCGAAAUGUUAAAAAGAAAAAUUGCCAACACUUGGUUUACAAAAUCCCACAGCCAAAAAUGAUGAGAGGAAAACGCCUCAUUGUCUAGAUUAUAACAUCCCGUUUAUAAAAACCAUUCCACCAUCCCAUCCCCACCACGCUUCAAGGAGGCAAGAGCUACCUACGGGAAUAAUAGUGUCACCAUCUGGGUGGAGCGGAGGAAAGAGCUGGAGAACAACCUUUUCAUUCCAGAAGGCUUUGCACAACCCAGACUUUCAAAGGGCGCGCGACUCGAGCGCACGCACGCGCACUGCGUGCCCCGGCUUCAGCAUCCACAGAAAUAACCUGCAAGUUCCAGCCGGGCCCCCCAAAGUUUCCCGGAGCUCAGGGCUGCGUGUGCAGGCGCUUCACGGCGAGGCCAGACCCGCUCGAACGCAGGCACCAGGGGAUUCCCUUUCUCCAGCACCGCACCUCAGCCCCGCCACCACCCCCAACCCCCGGCUCGGAGGUGGCGACCGCUACCGCCGCAGCGCGUGUGCUUUCCUGCUCACCCUUGAAUAAGGCACCUCGUGCACACUCGUCGCCAAAGACCGCGGCCCGCGGAGCUCCGGACCACGCUCGCUGGGAGCCGGCGCGCCUCUCGCCCGCAGACGGCCGCGAGCGUCGCGCCGUCAGGGUCUCCGCGCGGCGGCGUCUCGCCGUUCGCCUGGCCUUGGGCCUCGGGGGCGGACCUGGAGCCCGGUGACACCGCGCUCCUGCCUCACUGCCCCGUGCCUUGGCCCUGGCCGCCGCCAUCUUGCGGAGCUUUCAUUCAAACUGGCGCGGUCAGCCCGAAGAACUCAGCUGGCCACACGCCCCGCCCCGGCCCGCCAGGGACUCCGGAGCGGGGAGGCUGAGAGGAGCGAGGCGUUCUGACGUCAGCGGAGACCGACCCCUGCGGUGGUAGCUACCGCGCCUGCGCCGCACGGUGGGGGCGGGAAGGGGCGGGGCCUUCCGUGGAAACUGGCCCUGCCCGUCGCUGGCUUGUUACUCGCUUUGACUUCGGAGGUCGCUUGCCAUGAUUCUUCAUGCGGUCCCCUGAGUCGCUUCACAAAGACCUGACGUGCCCGCCACAAAACGCAAAAUAGGCUGUGCGGGGUUAGUGUGCGCAGGUAGCUCCUUUCCCACUCUUGUUCCUCAGCACUUCAACCCAACGAAGCCCCACUACUUUUCCUUUCACUCCACACCACCAGGACUCAGGAUCUUAAAAUUUGACUGCAUGUUGGGUUCACCUGGAGAGGUGCUGUCUGUUUAAACCACUCAAAGAGAUUCUGAUGAGUUGAUGUGGCCAUGUAGCAGCUGGACUCAAAGGAAAAGCCUGACAAUUGUGAGAAUCCAACCAACCCCGCCAAGAACCCUCUUAGUUAAGGCAAACGUAAAAGGUACACUUAGGACAAGGACUUACUAACAUUAACAGACUUAAGCUGAGGGCAGGUUUUAGCCAUAUAUGCUUGGGGAGAGUCAGGUCGUUCUCGGUUUUACCACUGUAAAUCUGAAAACUUGUAAGAGGAACCAUUAUACACAAAAGACCAUCGGCAAUUCUGUAAGCCAGUCAUGUCAAUGCUAUUCACAAGCACAUACUGCCUGUCUUCUCUUCAGCCAAAACAGCCUAGCUGCCUUGACCUCUCCAUUGCUCCCCUUCCAGCCACUUCCCACCCAGCUAAGGAGACUUUAAAACAGAAAAUGAAACAAGCCUCAGACUUGCUUUGUCUGAGAAGCAUGUUCAAGUCCUGACCCUUUUGCUUCCACUUUGGUGAGCUGGAAUUACAGGUGCUAGCCAAAGCUCCCUUCUCCCCCAAUAAACACUUUAAACUGGAAAUCACGGUCUAGAUCAAAGAACUGACUGACUCCCCUUCAUGUGCUGCUCCCUCUCACGUGACUAGAUUUAACUCAAAUGUUACUUCUUCAGAGGCCACUCAGGCAUUCUGUCUGGCUUUGUUCUCUAGCUCUUCUUUAAAAGCUUUUG
rnacentral:lncRNA from 1 species